GACUUUACUAAGGAGGCAAGAGGAUGGUGAAGAAACUGGCUUCAACAAAGGGAAAGUCAGCAAGCAAGGAGGGAAGAUGAAAUGCAGUGUAUGUGGUCAAGUUGGGCACAACAAGAGGUACCACGGAGCUCAGCAGGCAAGGAGGGAAGAUGAAAUGCAGGUGAACAAAGAUUUUUCAAUUGUGCAAAUGCAUGGAGAAACAUCUGAAUUUAUCAAUAUACAAGUUCAUGGGAUAACCACUCCAAGCUCACUUACUGAAUUAAGGUUGAGCACAGAGGAGAGCCACAAGAGUGUGCCACCUGCAACAACAAAUACAUCUCCAGGAGCUAAUAUAGGGAUUGAGCAUCCAGUGGCAUAGGUCAGCACAGAUACUUUGCAUACAGUUAAUCUGGAACAACCAUCAGGAGGGACUCAACUCAAAAUUCCAAAACUGGCGACAAGGGGUGUCAAAAAAUUUACAAAUACUAGCAACAAGGAGACAUAGAAUGGAUCAAAUGUGGAACAAAGGAAGGCCAAGGAUAUUGCUAGAGUAGGAGGUGCUGACAAGAGAAGGAGGGUAUGGCUACCACCAGGAAGUGGGACCUCUGCAGGUCAGCUGUGAAUGCCCAAGGGUGCUGCUAUGAGAAUGUUUCAUUUUUGUUAUUUUGGUUUUUUGAUCAGCUGUGAAUGUUAGCUGUGAACUAGAGAAAGUGAAUGGAUUGAAGCUAUAGAAGUUCUCAAAUUGUCAAGCAUUUUACUUAAACAGUGUUUUGUAAAACUCAAUACUUGCUAGUGUUUUA